UACUUUUUUCACCCAAAAUUAGGUGAAGCCACUGACUGCCUAAAAUAAGUUGUACACUCGUGUUAUAGGCAUCA